GAUGAACGCUAGCGGCAGGCCUAACACAUGCAAGUCGAGGGAGAGGUUACCUUCGGGUAACCAAAACCGGCGCACGGGUGCGUAACGCGUAUACAAUCUGCCUUUCACAUAGGGAUAGCCCGAAGAAAUUUGGAUUAAUACCUAAUGGUAUAUAAGAGCGGCAUCGUUUUUAUAUUAAAGCUACGGUGGUGAAAGAUGAGUAUGCGUUCUAUUAGCUAGUUGGAGAGGUAACGGCUCCCCAAGGCGACGAUAGAUAGGGGUUCUGAGAGGGAUGUCCCCCACACUGGUACUGAGAUACGGACCAGACUCCUACGGGAGGCGGCAGUGAGGAAUAUUGGACAAUGGUCGGAAGACUGAUCCAGCCAUGCCGCGUGCAGGAUGAAGGUCCUAUGGAUUGUAAACUGCUUUUGUAAGGGAAGAAUAAGGAGUACGUGUACUUUGAUGACGGUACCUUACGAAUAAGCAUCGGCUAACUCCGUGCCAGCAGCCGCGGUAAUACGGAGGAUGCGAGCGUUAUCCGGAAUCAUUGGGUUUAAAGGGUCCGUAGGCGGGCUGAUAAGUCAGAGGUGAAAGCGCUUAGCUCAACUAAGCAACUGCCUUUGAAACUGUCAGUCUUGAAUGAUUGUGAAGUAGUUGGAAUGUGUAGUGUAGCGGUGAAAUGCUUAGAUAUUACACAGAACACCGAUAGCGAAGGCAUAUUACUAACAAUUUAUUGACGCUGAUGGACGAAAGCGUGGGGAGCGAACAGG
rnacentral:rRNA from 1 species